AAAGCUCAGCGUGGGAAGCGGUUCUGACUGACCGCGGUUGGCGCGUGCUCCCGACAGCCUGUGCGCGACCGCCAACUUUCCACCGGCGCGUGAGGCGCUCACAGCUCGUGAGCGUGCGGGAGGUUACAUGGCGAGGACUUGCAAGAAAACAUGCCAUCAGCUGGCCCACAGGUGGCAGUGACCCUUGUCACCAACCACAUGUCCCUGAAAAGAUGACUAGCUCCUUUAAGAACAAACACACUUUGUGCUUUUCCACUUCUGCAAUUUUACUGAGGACAUUUCUCCUACUGAUUUGCUGACUAAUCAAUAGUGAUCUCUCCAUCAGUCCCAAACAGGUUUCUAUAACAACGAACUUAAUGAGACAACAGCCACCAGACCUGUGCUCCGUGCAAGUAAGAAGCCGGAGUUCGCGAAGAGGUGCACUUAGUGCCUCACGUUUUGGUGCAUGAAGUACAACAGUUUUUCCUCUGCGUUCAUUUGUGCUAGAGUAGCACAGAUGGCCAAGAUAUUUACGGGCAAGUCUCCCAGUUACUUCAAGCCCGUGUAUGUAAGGCCUCGUUUCAGCCCAACACACAUUCACGACUAUACUUUAUAUACGACGAUACAGACUUUAGCAGAACGUUCUCAGUGGAACCCAGGAGACUUUAUCGCACUGCUUUAGGAAAUAGUUGUCUGCAAAAUUAUGCUAGCUUUAGCUGGUAAAACUAGAUCCAGUGCUUUAAGUUUAAAUAAAUGCUCUUGCUUUACUUUUACUUCAGAA